UUAACUCACGAUCGGCAUCUUGAAUAAAUUACACAAAUACCAUUUAAGCCAUUCUGGUGCCCUGGAAAAGAAUCACAACACUCAGAAAUCCCUGCUUUACCUGGUGUUUGAAAUCAGAACUAUCUUGGCAUGCAAGGUUCCUGCCCUGAGCUCCUCUCCUGACUUUCCUUCAUGAUGGACUAUGACUGAGACAUG